GCCUCCCAGGUCCUCACUGUGUGGCUGCUUGCCAUGGAAACUGGAUUCCUUCCAUGAGAAACCAACUCUGGCUAAGACCAGAAAGAAUGUAUUUGAAAGAUACGGAACAAGUCAUCUGAAAAACAAGGUUCAGGAAGAACAACCCCGGAUUUCCCCAGGGGCAGACAGUCAUCUAGGAGCUCAGACACCAUUGUCAAAAUAAAUCCUGCUCCAGUUUUCUUCGACAGCACUCGAGUUACCUGGUUCAAGAUGCACUGGCCUGGAAUAAAACAAGGCAGGCCUCAUUAAUUAACAGACUAUCCUGACUGCUGCUGGGAGGGUCAAAACAAUUACCAACAAGGAAUGCAGAAUGUUAAGAACCAAGGAGGGCUGGGUGCUAAGAAGCCUGGGAACAGCAAAUACCCAGCAUAGUCUGAGCUGUGAUCUUGCUCCAGGGUUCCUCCAGGGUUUUGUGGAGGGAGGGAGGUGGCUUUUAGGCCAGCCUUGUGGAAUCAACUGGUCUUUCACCAUCUCUAGGCAUGAUGUUACUAGCUUAAAAUGCCAGACUGUUUGUCACAAGGAGAAUUGGUGUUUAAAAAAACGAAGCUGCGUCAAGCACGGUGGUACAUUCCUGUAAUCCCAGCAUCAGGUAGGUGGCAGCAGGAGGGUCAGGAAUCCAAGUUGUUGCAACACAGAAAAUUCAAGGCUAGCCUUGGCUACCCAAGACUCUAUCUCCAAAGACAAACAAACAAAAGUCCCCAAAGGUGUGUAAUAAAUAUUGACACUAAAAUAGGUAGGAGACAGAAGGGAAUGCUGAUGUGCUGAUGUUUAAAAGAAAGAUUACACGUGCCCACUGUUUUUCAUAUCUGAUGACCACAAAGGUAUGUUCCAGCAGCAUCAGGGCAAAGUGGGAAACCUGGAGUGAAGACCGAGCUGGACUAUACAAGCCUUUCCAGUUUACGGGAAACUUGCAGUGUCGGUAAGGAAAAGCACAUGGCCUUUAACAACAUCAUUUCACUGGCCUGCAUUGUUCCAUGGCUUUCCACCAAGUUCUACUGCCUACCUGUCAACAUUUAGCUCACCUGUCUUAUCUCUGAGCCAGCCUGCAAAAUCCAACCCACGUCAUAACCAAGCAGCGCUUCCUGCUUAGGCCAGGAGCUUGUUACUUCUCAAAUGUCCUCUCGGCUUCUUGCCAUCUUUCUUUUUUUCUUCUUUGUUGUUUUUUUUUCCCCCCAAGACAGGGUUUCUCUGUGUAGCCCUAGCUGUUCUGGAACUUGCUCUGAAGAUGAGGCUGGCCUCAAACUCACUGAGAUCUGGCUGUCUCUGCCUCCCAAAUGCUGGGAUUAAAGGCAUGGGCCACUACACCCAGCCUUCUUGCUAUCUUUCUACACUUCUAAGAGUAUGGAAAGCACAGUCCCUAAUAAUGACAAGCUGGAUGUUGGAAGUUUACUGCAACUGUGUGUGUGUGUGUGUGUGUGUGUGUGUGUGUGUGUGUGUGUGUAUGUGUGUGUCCGUGUGUGUGUGUCCGUGUGUGUGUGUGUGUGUAUGUGAACACGCACACACAGAAGCCAGAAGACAACCUCAGCUAUCAUUCUUUAGUUGCCCCAAUCUUGUUUCUGAAACAAGGUUUCUCAUUGGCCUGGGCCUCACCAAUUAGUCUAGACUUGCUGGCCAGCAGGCCGAAUGGACACUCACCUACUCCUGCCUUCCCAGUCCUAGUGACUCCACACCCAGACACUGUAACUUUAAAAAACCUGCUCUCUCAGGCAGGCAGGCAGGCAGAUCUCUGAGUUCCAGGCCAGUCAGGACUACAUAGACAGACCCUGUCAAAAAACAAAACAAAAAAAAAAUAAAUAAAUAAAUAAAUAAAUAAAUAAAUAAAUAAAUAAAUAAAUAAAUAAAUAAAACAAAAAAAUCUCAACUCAAGCCCUGCCAGAACAUGCUCGUAAGUCUCCCCAUCCCCAUACCAGCAGCUCCACUCCCCGCACCACGAGCUCCACCCCCACCACCUAGACUCAUCCACUGUGGGCACCAGAGCUCUUCUCCCAGCUAAUGAGAUCUUGCCAAACCUUAGAGUUACCUCACUAUGACAUAUAAACAAGCCGAGUCACCUACAGUCCAUAGCCCUGACCUAACUUCCUAGCCUCCUCUCAAUACCACCUGUAAAUGUGCAUUUAUUUAUCUGUCCAUUCAUUCUUUCAUUUGAAUCGUGUGUAUGCAUUUGUGUUUGGGUGUAGGUAUGUGUAGGUGAAUGCCGGAGCCCUGAGAGGUCAGAUCCUCUGGAGCCGGGAGUUAGAGGCAGUUGUGAGCUGCCUGGCACACAUUCUAGGAACCGAACUCACGUCCUGUGCGAGAGCAGCAAGCUCCCUUAACCACUGAGCCAUCGUUCCAGUUCCAAUACUACUUUAUUUAUUCACUUAUGUAUUUGUUGGUUGGUUUGUUUUUGAGACAAACUCUUGCUAGGCAUCCUUGGCUGGUCUGGUACUCACUAUGUAGACCAUGCUGCAUUGAACCCAUAGAAAAUCAUCUUCCUCUGCCUCCCAAGUGCUGGGGUUACAGGCCACCAUGUCUCCAAUACCUCUCUCUCAUUUCACAUUCCCAGAACAUAUCCGUCACUGUCCCACAAUGAAUUUUGCAGCCUCUGUUCCCUUUAUCUUGUGUGUUCUCACAUUGUCUUCCUCACCUUGCAAGUAUUACCAAUCAAAAUGAAUCAUUUUUCCUAGCAAUAAUAAUUAUCCAUUGUAAAGAACUGGAUAGGGGACCAGCAUAAUAGUUGAGCUGGUAGACUGGAUAAAGGCACCGCCGCUUAGUCAGACCACUUGAGUUUUUUCUCAGAAACGUAUAUGAUGGAGAGAACUGACUCAUGCAGGGUCCCUCUGACCUCCACACGCCCGCCAUGCCCCCCUCAAAUAAAUCAUUGAAAGUAUAAUUAGAGGGAGUGGGAGGGAGGGAGAAUGAACCGAAUAGGACUUUCGCAUGUGCUGUCUCAUUUAGCCCUGACCAUAAUCCAGCAGGUUAGGUAUUACCAGUCCUCAUUCCCUAUCCGAGGCCAUGAGGACAGCUGUGCUUCCAAAUUCAGAAUAGACUAUGUUUUUGAAACGGAGAGGGUAGAUACGCACACAGCACCUUCCUCUUAGGAUGGGGCUAAGCGGGCCACGUGUUCUUUCAGAGAAGAAGCUAGGGAGAUGCCCUGUCCAAUGUAUUUUUCUCAGGUCUGUCGCUUUAACCAUUCUAAGCAAUACUUAUGUAUGAACAGAACCUUGCAAGGGAAAUAAGUACAGCUAACUUUUGCAGCCACUAACGUGCACCAGAAAAGUAAUUUAAAUGGUGAUAAAGUGUUUGCGUGGAUGGCCGCUCUUUCCCAUUUCUUCCUUCCCUUUGCUUCCUUCUGCUGCUUACACGCUUUCCUCAGUUUCCCCAUUAAGAGCACAGGCCUCUGCUUCCAACGGAAGAAUUCUUUCUUCAGUGUCACUACCAAUUCAUGUUUUAUGAUUUUACCAUUAUUGUGUGUUGUAUGCAUGUGUGUAUGGGGGUGUGUGCUCAUGCCCCUGCACACAUGUGGAGGCCAGAGGACAGCUUUGUGGACUCCUCUCUCUCUCCUUCCACCUUUACAUGGGUUCCAGUAUUGAACUCAGGUCAUCAGAUUCGCAGCCAGUGCCUCAACCACUGGCCUUCUCACUGGCCUUCAGUUUUCUCUGGCAACACACACACACACACACACACACACACACACACA